UACGGGGGGCAGCAGUGGGGAAUAUUGCACAAUGGGGGAAACCCUGAUGCAGCGAUGCCGCGUGGAGGAAGAAGGUGUCCGGAUUGUAAACUCCUUUUAUCAGGGACGAUAAUGACGGUACCUGCAGAAACAGCAUCGGCUAACCCCGGGCCAGCAGCCGCGGUAAUACGGAGGAUGCGAGCGUUAUCCGGAUUUAUUGGGUUAAAAGGGUGCGUAGGCGGAAUAUCAAGUCAGCGGUAAAAAGUCGGGGCUCAACCCCGUCGUGCCGUUGAAACUGAUGUUCUUGAGUGGGCGAGAAGUAUGCGGAAUGCGUGGUGUAGCGGUGAAAUGCAUAGAUAUCACGCAGAACUCCGAUUGCGAAGGCAGCAUACCGGCGCCCAACUGACGCUGAAGCACGAAAGCGUGGGUAUCGAACAGGAUUAGAUACCCUAGUAGUC
rnacentral:rRNA from 1 species